GGAUCGGUGGCGCAGUGGUAGCGCACGCGAUUGCAGUGGCAUAGCCAGCUUCUAUCGUGUUGUCCCGUGUUCGAACCACGGUCGGUCCU
rfam:Exidia glandulosa HHB12029 unplaced genomic scaffold EXIGLscaffold_174, whole genome shotgun sequence.